rnacentral:rRNA from 1 species
GGUUAAGCGACUAAGCGUACACGGUGGAUGCCCUGGCAGUCAGAGGCGAUGAAGGACGUGCUAAUCUGCGAUAAGCGUCGGUAAGGUGAUAUGAACCGUUAUAACCGGCGAUUUCCGAAUGGGGAAACCCAGUGUGAUUCGUCACACUAUCAUUAACUGAAUCCAUAGGUUAAUGAGGCGAACCGGGGAACUGAAACAUCUAAGUACCCCGAGGAAAAGAAAUCAACCGAGAUUCCCCAGUAGCGGCGAGCGAACGGGGAGCAGCCCAGAGCCUGAAUCAGUGUGUGUGUUAGUGGAAGCGUCUGGAAAGGCGUGCGAUACAGGGUGACAGCCCCGUACACAAAAAUGCACAUGCUGUGAGCUCGAUGAGUAGGGCGGGACACGUGGUAUCCUGUCUGAAUAUGGGGGACCAUCCUCCAAGGCUAAAUACUCCUGACUGACCGAUAGUGAACCAGUACCGUGAGGGAAAGGCGAAAAGAACCCCGGCGAGGGGAGUGAAAAAGAACCUGAAACCGUGUACGUACAAGCAGUGGGAGCACGCUUAGGCGUGUGACUGCGUACCUUUUGUAUAAUGGGUCAGCGACUUAUAUUCUGUAGCAAGGUUAACCGAAUAGGGAGCCGAAGGGAAACCGAGUCUUAACUGGGCGUUAAGUUGCAGGGUAUAGACCCGAAACCCGGUGAUCUAGCCAUGGGCAGGUUGAAGGUUGGGUAACACUAACUGGAGGACCGAACCGACUAAUGUUGAAAAAUUAGCGGAUGACUUGUGGCUGGGGUGAAAGGCCAAUCAAACCGGGAGAUAGCUGGUUCUCCCCGAAAGCUAUUUAGGUAGCGCCUCGUGAAUUCAUCUCCGGGGUAGAGCACUGUUUCGGCAAGGGGGUCAUCCCGACUUACCAACCCGAUGCAAACUGCGAAUACCGGAGAAUGUUAUCACGGGAGACACACGGCGGGUGCUAACGUCCGUCGUGAGAGGGAAACAACCCAGACCGCCAGCUAAAGGUCCCAAAGUCAUGGUUAAGUGGGAAACGAUGUGGGAAGGCCCAGACAGCCAGGAUGUUGGCUUAGAAGCAGCCAUCAUUUAAAGAAAGCGUAAUAGCUCACUGGUCGAGUCGGCCUGCGCGGAAGAUGUAACGGGGCUAAACCAUGCACCGAAGCUGCGGCAGCGACACUGUGUGUUGUUGGGUAGGGGAGCGUUCUGUAAGCCUGCGAAGGUGUGCUGUGAGGCAUGCUGGAGGUAUCAGAAGUGCGAAUGCUGACAUAAGUAACGAUAAAGCGGGUGAAAAGCCCGCUCGCCGGAAGACCAAGGGUUCCUGUCCAACGUUAAUCGGGGCAGGGUGAGUCGACCCCUAAGGCGAGGCCGAAAGGCGUAGUCGAUGGGAAACAGGUUAAUAUUCCUGUACUUGGUGUUACUGCGAAGGGGGACGGAGAAGGCUAUGUUGGCCGGGCGACGGUUGUCCCGGUUUAAGCGUGUAGGCUGGUUUUCCAGGCAAAUCCGGAAAAUCAAGGCUGAGGCGUGAUGACGAGGCACUACGGUGCUGAAGCAACAAAUGCCCUGCUUCCAGGAAAGCCUCUAAGCAUCAGGUAACAUCAAAUCGUACCCCAAACCGACACAGGUGGUCAGGUAGAGAAUACCAAGGCGCUUGAGAGAACUCGGGUGAAGGAACUAGGCAAAAUGGUGCCGUAACUUCGGGAGAAGGCACGCUGAUAUGUAGGUGAAGUCCCUCGCGGAUGGAGCUGAAAUCAGUCGAAGAUACCAGCUGGCUGCAACUGUUUAUUAAAAACACAGCACUGUGCAAACACGAAAGUGGACGUAUACGGUGUGACGCCUGCCCGGUGCCGGAAGGUUAAUUGAUGGGGUCAGCGCAAGCGAAGCUCUUGAUCGAAGCCCCGGUAAACGGCGGCCGUAACUAUAACGGUCCUAAGGUAGCGAAAUUCCUUGUCGGGUAAGUUCCGACCUGCACGAAUGGCGUAAUGAUGGCAGGCUGUCUCCACCCGAGACUCAGUGAAAUUGAACUCGCUGUGAAGAUGCAGUGUACCCGCGGCGGCAAGACGGAAAGACCCCGUGAACCUUUACUAUAGCUUGACACUGAACAUUGAGCCUUGAUGUGUAGGAUAGGUGGGAGGCUUUGAAGUGUGGACGCCAGUCUGCAUGGAGCCGACCUUGAAAUACCACCCUUUAAUGUUUGAUGUUCUAACGUUGACCCGUGAUCCGGGUUGCGGACAGUGUCUGGUGGGUAGUUUGACUGGGGCGGUCUCCUCCUAAAGAGUAACGGAGGAGCACGAAGGUUGGCUAAUCCUGGUCGGACAUCAGGAGGUUAGUGCAAUGGCAUAAGCCAGCUUGACUGCGAGCGUGACGGCGCGAGCAGGUGCGAAAGCAGGUCAUAGUGAUCCGGUGGUUCUGAAUGGAAGGGCCAUCGCUCAACGGAUAAAAGGUACUCCGGGGAUAACAGGCUGAUACCGCCCAAGAGUUCAUAUCGACGGCGGUGUUUGGCACCUCGAUGUCGGCUCAUCACAUCCUGGGGCUGAAGUAGGUCCCAAGGGUAUGGCUGUUCGCCAUUUAAAGUGGUACGCGAGCUGGGUUUAGAACGUCGUGAGACAGUUCGGUCCCUAUCUGCCGUGGGCGCUGGAGAACUGAGGGGGGCUGCUCCUAGUACGAGAGGACCGGAGUGGACGCAUCACUGGUGUUCGGGUUGUCAUGCCAAUGGCACUGCCCGGUAGCUAAAUGCGGAAGAGAUAAGUGCUGAAAGCAUCUAAGCACGAAACUUGCCCCGAGAUGAGUUCUCCCUGACUCCUUGAGAGUCCUGAAGGAACGUUGAAGACGACGACGUUGAUAGGCCGGGUGUGUAAGCGCAGCGAUGCGUUGAGCUAACCGGUACUAAUGAACCGUGAGGCUUAACCUU